rnacentral:misc_RNA from 1 species
UCCGAGUUGUCCCCGGCAGUCCUUUUAGAGUCCCCGGCAUUACCCGCUGGCAACUAAAAGCAGGGGUUGCGCUCGUUGCGGCACUUAAGCCAACACCUCACGACACGAGCUGACGACAGCCAUGCAGCACCUGUCUACGAGCCCCGAAGGGGGGCCCCUGUUUCCAGAGGCUUUCCCGUAGAUGUCAAGCCCAGGUAAGGUUCUUCGCGUUGCUUCGAAUUAAACCACAUGCUCCACCGCUUGUGCAGGCCCCCGUCAAUUUCUUUGAGUUUUAAUCUUGCGACCGUACUCCCCAGGCGGAUAACUUAAUGCGUUAGCUGCGCCACCAAAACCCUAUGGGCCCUGACAGCUAGUUAUCAUCGUUUACGGCGUGGACUAC